CCUGAUCCAAAUUUAUAUGGAUGGAUUGGUGGAGGAGACUUUUUUACAGCAGAAGGUGCUUCGGAGAAUACCUAUGCAUAAAGGGGGAGGUGAAGAAGGCAUAUCAUUUCAGACCUUGUUUAAGAAGAAACACAGGGUAGGAAGGAAAGUGCAACAAAAUUGGCCAAUGAAAUUUACAUGAGAAACGAAAAAACUGGAUGAGCUUCGCAUGUGGAAGUGUAUCAAAAUAUAAAAAUCCGUUAGUCGAUGAAAAAAAGAAGAAUGGUUAACGCUGGAAACUUUGAUCGAGAAUACAACUAGCGAGCGUGGCCUUAAUGAAGACUCUCACAAAGUGCAGGACAAGAACUACAAGAAAAAAGCUUCGCGAGCACGAAAGGUGGUAAGAUUGUCGGUCAAAAUUGAAACCUACAUGUCAAUUCAGAUCGACAAUCUUACCACCUUCCAUGCUCGCGAAGCUUCUUCCAUAGAGUUCUAGUCUUGCAUUUUGUGGGUCUUCAUUGAGGUCGCGCUUGCUAGUUGCAGUCUCUAGCAAAGUGACC
rnacentral:lncRNA from 1 species